GUGAGAGAGAGAGCAGAAAGGGAGAGAGAAGGGAAAAAAGGCAGGCAAGACUUGGCACGGUUCUAUCGCAGCUCCUUUUGUCUGCUUACUCGGCUUUGCACUGAGGAAAUCAAAAUACCAAGGGGGUAGAAUCUCAGCUUCAAGGAUAAAAACAUAAACUUUCAAAUAUUUUGGGGAAGGGGGCGUGGGUAGGCGCGAUCUGUUUGACAAAAGGAUGUCUUCCUGCCCCAAUGAUCCAAGCAGACUUGUUUUUUUUUCCUUUCCUUGCUUUUUUAAGGAAGUAAAUUCCUUGAGAGAUGACCACAUAUCAAAAAUGUGUUUUGAGAUGCAAGACUUGCGGCGUUUAUUUGUUUUGUCUGCAGAUACAAAAAACAGGGUGUCUUCAGAGGGGGGCAGUCAACAUUCAACUGCAAAGGAUAUCAGCACCAUCUUAGCCAAAGAGACGGAAGAAAAAGUUUCCUGGAUUCUAUGUAUUCAUCUUUUUUAUUUUUGUCAUGUUUUUUGUAAUGGUAUACUACACUUCUUUGCCUUUUGUAAUUUUAAGAUUAUUUUAAUUUAAAUUGUAAAUUUCAGAUGAUUUUUGAAGGCCGAACCAAGGUGACUGGUUUACCCAUAGCUACUGAGAGGUUUUAAGCCAUCAAGACACAUUGUGCAUCUUAAGUCUACUUUUGCAAGACUGGUGGUUGAUACUGGAUUCCUGUUAACCUUGUGGUAAACUUCAAUGCCUAACUAAACAUCAACUUGGAUAAAUAAAAGUAAGAAGCAAAGCUCUCAGGAGUAAAAGAACAUUUCCCAUUUCCACUCGACUUUUUGGAUUACAGUUUACUAAGUUGGUAGAAAAGUCUAUCAGAGAAGUAUUGGGGAAAUAUUUCAAUUUGUGUGGCUUUCAAUUUUCUAGAAAGAACAUGGGCCUGGAAUUCUCUAAAUGUAUAUUCAGAUAUCCUCUUUGGAUAAUUAACAAGUAAAUGCAAAUAAAAAAAAACUGCAUUAAAAGGAAUUGGAGUCCCAUAAUAUUUCAGGAUUUCCUGAUCACUACACCAAAAGCGGUGAAUGGCAGACACUGGUGGAAGGGGCAGAUGGGAGAUCAAUCCUCCGAUUGUUUUAGAAGCAAACUGAUUGGUCAGUUUGGCUUUGGUGACGUGACAACAGCAGAAGUGCGAGUGUGAGACACACAAGGAGGAGUAAAGGUGCACUCUGAGAGAGCCAACUUCAAAGCCACACUGAGUAACUGCCCAGUGAGGGCACUUAGCUCCACCCCUUCCAGUUUGUGCAAUAUAAGAAGCCUGGCUGCCCAGAAGGGAGGCAUCUUUUGCAGACUGAACCACCAGAUGGAGCUCCAGUAACUGGCCCUUAUUUCCAUGCCAAACUGACAAAUAUCUUUUGUUGAUUAUUUGCCCAAGUAGGCAACUUUAUAGACACCAGGAGGUGCAUUUUAUGUUGGACUUCCUCUAAAUUAAAGAAUUAGUUGGGCUUCCUCUUAAUUAAAGAAUUAUAUCUGUAACUGUGUUGUUAAACUCCUUUUAAGAGGACCUUAAAAAAAUGUAUAUUUGGACACAUUUUUGGUAAAUAAAAUUUAAUAUAGGUAAGUGAUCAUUUGUAAAUUAUAAGGAAAAAUAUCAGUUGUAAUUGCUCAAUGAGAAUUUAAAGUUAGAAGGUAUGGUUAAUGAGUAAGUCUGGGGAGCCUAUCAUUGUCAACAAUCAGAUAAUGUACAGAAAUGAUUAAAAAUCUAACAUGAUUAUAUUGUACCACAUUUGGAAUACAAAUGUAGAAAGCUUAGCCUUAAGCUGUAUGAUGCAUUCAUGAAGCCAUAUCUGGAAUUUCAUUUGAAGUUUGGACAUUAAAGCCCUAGAUAAAGUAAAGAGAAGAACUACUGCAACAACUUCAGGACUGAAGAGUAUGAACUAUAAGGAAGGAAUGAGGGAGAUUAAUCUUUUCAGCUUAAACAAAUAAAAGUGAAGAGGUAACAUGAAAUGACUGAAAUUGUAAAAGGAAUUUGUAGGGUUAGUGACAGCUGUUCUUUUUCAAUCAGAUUUUAUAAAAAGAACAUUGGAGCACAGAUGGAAAAUGAUUGAAGAUAAAUUUUGUUAAAAUAUAUAAAAAUAUUUCUUCACAGGGGAGAAUGUACAUACAUUGAAUAAAUUACUCUUGUAAUUAUAGCAAAUGUCCACUUAGCAUUUAUUUAACACAUAAUGUAAACAGAAAUUGACAAGCUAUGUUGAACUUUAUGGCUUGAUCUAGUCACGUUUUUUUCACAAUGCGAUUCUCCUUCACGUCCUUCCCACUACUCACCAAAGUCUUUCACUUUUCAUAUGUCUUGUUUGACAAUUGUUAAGAAGAGAGAAACUCACACUGGUGAAGUGGAAACAUGCCCAAAAAUAGUUUCCUUCUAAUAGGGAUUUUUAAAAGGGAUAAGUUAUACAAUGUCAGUUAAAUAAUGUAAUAAUGAAGGCCAACACAGGAAAUAAUGUAAUAAAUAAA